AGCCUGAACGCUGGCGGCGUGGCUAAGACAUGCAAGUCGUACGGUGUAGCGUAGCAAUACGCUGCACAGUGGCGAACGGGUGAGUAAUGAAUCGCUAACGUGCCCUGGACUUCGGGAUAGCUAUCCGAAAGGGUAGGUAAUACCGGGUGAUAUAGCGCUCUCGCAUGAGAGUGUUCUCAAAGGUCCGCCGGUCUGGGAGCGGGCGAGUUCGAAGUCGACGCUAGUGGUGAGGUAACGGCUCACCAAGGCGACGACGCGUAGCCGGACUGAGAGGUUGGCCGGCCACAUUGGGACUGAGAUACUGCCCAGACUCCUACGGGGGGCUGCAGUAACGAAUCUUCCGCAAUGCACGAAAGUGUGACGGAGCGACGCCGCGUGGAGGACGAAGUUCUUCGGAAUGUAAACUCCUGUCAGGGAAAGAAAGUUCUGAUCUACCCCAGAGGAAGAGGCGGCUAACUCUGUGCCAGCAGCCGC
rnacentral:rRNA from 1 species